AUGGGGCUUGGGCUCAGCUGGGUUUUCCUUGUUGCUAUUUUAAGAGGUGUCCAGGGUGAGGUGCAGCUGGUGGAGUCUGGGGGAGCCGUGGUGAAGCCUGGGGGGUCUCUGAGACUGUCCUGUGCAGCCUCUGGAUUCACCUUCAGUAGCACCUGGAUGAGCUGGGUCCGCCAGCCUCCAGGGAAGGGACUGGAGUGGGUCUCAGGCAUUAAUACUGAUGGAGGUAGCACAUACUAUGCAGCCUCUGUGAAGGGCCGAUUCACCAUCUCCAGAGACAACGCCAAGAACACCCUGUAUCUGCAAAUGAACAGCCUAAAAUCUGAGGACUCGGCGGUGUAUUUCUGUGCAACACAGCUGUGCAGGUCUUUGGCAGGGCACUGGGGCCGAGGCACCACAGUCACCGUCUCCUCAGGUGACGAAUCUGCCCCAAACCUCUUCCCCCUCGUCUCCUGUGAGAGUCCCCUGUCCGAUGAGAGCCUGGUGGCCAUGGGUUGCCUGGCCAAGGACUUCAUGCCCAACUCUGUCACCUUCUCCUGGAGCUAUAAGAACAGCAGUGACAUCAGCAGCCAGGCCGUCAAUACCUUCUGGUCGGUCCUGAGUGAGGGGAAGUACUCGGCCAGCUCCCAGGUGUUGCUGCCCUCCGCUGACAUCCUCCAGGGCACAGAUGAGUUCGUGACCUGCAAAGUCAAACACCCUAAAGGGCAAUCAGAUGUGCAGGUGCCCAUCCAAGCAGUGCAAGACGUUGCCCCCACCGUGAAUGUCUUCAUCCCGCCCCGGGACUCCUUCUCUGGCACCAGCGUCCGCACAUCCAAGCUCGUCUGCCAGGCCACGGGCUUCAGCCCCAAGACAAUCUCCGUGUCCUGGCUGCGGGAUGGAAAGCUGCUGGACUCUGGCUUCACCACGGACAAACCACAAGUUGAGCACAAAGGGUCAGGACCCGUGACCUACAAGGUCACCAGCACACUGACCAUCACCGAGAGUGACUGGCUCAGCCAGACCGUGUUCACCUGCCAAGUGGAGCACAGACAGCUGACCUUCCAGAAGAACGUGUCAUCCAUGUGUCUCCCCAGUACGUCCACCUCCAUCCGAGUCUUCCCCAUCGCCCCCACCUUCGCCAGCAUCUUCCUCACCAAGGUAGCGAAGCUGUCCUGCCUGGUCACAGACCUGGCCACCUAUGACAGCCUGAACAUUGCCUGGACCCGCCAGAACAAGGAGGAACUGAAAACCCACAUCAACAUCUCCAAGAGCCAUCCCAAUGCCACUUUCAGCGCCACAGGGGAAGCCACAGUAUGCGUGGAAGACUGGGAGUCAGGAGAUGAGUUCACGUGCAUAGUGACCCACACAGACCUGCCCUCACCGCUGAAGCUCUCUGUCUCCAGGCCCAAGGAUUUCGCCAAGCACAUGCCCUCUGUCUACCUGCUGCCACCCAGCAGGGAGCAGCUGAGCCUGCGGGAGUCGGCCUCCAUCACCUGCUUGGUGAAGGGCUUCUCGCCUGCAGACGUGUUUGUGCAGUGGAUGCAGAGAGGGCAGCCCAUGUCCCCCGACACAUAUGUGACCAGCGCCCCGAUGCCUGAGCCCCAGGCCCCCGGCCUGUACUUCACCUACAGCAUCCUGACCGUGACUGAGGAGGACUGGAGCGCCGGGGAGACCUACACCUGCGUUGUGGCCCACGAGGCCCUGCCCCACUCUGUGACCGAGAGGACCGUGGACAAGUCCACUGGUAAACCCACCCUGUACAACGUGUCCCUGGUCAUGUCUGACCUGGCCAACACCUGCCACUGA